rnacentral:snRNA from 1 species
UGUGAGGACGAUCUGGCUGCAACAUCUGUCACCCCAUUGAUCACCAGGGUUGAUUCAGCUGAUCUGGCUGGCUAGGCGGGUGUCCCCUUCCUCCCUCACCGC